UGGAAGAUAAACAUGCUGGAGCUUGC
rnacentral:piRNA from 1 species